AAAGUUACUUCGGUACAUCGGUGACAGGUGGUGCAUGGUUGUCGUCAGCUCGUGUCGUGAGAUGUUGGGUUAAGUCCCGCAACGAGCGCAACCCCUAUUGUUAGUUGCCAUCAUUCAGUUUGGGCACUCUAGCGAGACUGCCGGUAAUAAACCGGAGGAAGGUGGGGAUGACGUCAAAUCAUCAUGCCCCUUAUGACCUGGGCUACACACGUGCUACAAUGGUUGGUACAACGAGUUGCGAGUCGGUGACGGCGAGCUAAUCUCUUAAAGCCAAUCUCAGUUCGGAUUGUAGGCUGCAACUCGCCUACAUGAAGUCGGAAUCGCUAGUAAUCGCGGAUCAGCACGCCGCGGUGAAUACGUUCCCGGGCCUU
rnacentral:rRNA from 1 species